rnacentral:rRNA from 1 species
GCGUUGUUCGGCAUUACUGGGCGUCAAGCGCACGUAGGCGGGUUUGUAAGUUAGAGGUGAAAGCCCGGAGCUCAACUCCGGAAUUGCCUUUAAGACUGCAUCGCUUGAAUUGUGGAGAGGUGAGUGGAAUUCCGAGUGUAGAGGUGAAAUUCGUAGAUAUUCGGAAGAACACCGGUGGCGAAGGCGACUCACUGGACACAUAUUGACGCUGAGGUGCGAAAGCGUG